rnacentral:ncRNA from 1 species
AAUGCUAGGGGUGCUUUAAAGCUGAGAGGGAAUGUUUUUCCUAACCCUUGUACCUGAACUGGGUAAUACCAGCGUAGGAAAGCGGGAUUGU